CCGACCAUAGCUCAGUUGGUAGAGCGGAAGACUGUAGUGAUAUGGAUAUCUUUAGGUCCCUGGUUCGAAUCCGGGUGGUCGGA